UUUUCUCUGUUUUUUCGUAUUUUUUAUUAUUUUUAAUAUGAUAAAUUUGCAGUUUCCAUGGAAAAGUGGUCAAUCCCUUGAAAGCUUAGAAAAUACUAAAAAUACUCCAAUUAAUCCUUUAAAUCCUUUUCCCUUUUCCACAAGUGCAUAGGUUGCUUUGUCUUUAGUUUGUUUUUUCUUUUUGGCUAUGAGCGAAGUUUCUCCAGCUGCUACAGAAGCCCCCAUGGAAACUGAGGAGGAAAAGAGACAAGAACAGGAUGUGGAAAGGGGAAGCCAUAGACUAGCCUUACCACAAGAUGGCUAUGAGUGGAGGAAAUAUGGCCAGAAGUUCAUAAAAAAUAUUGGAAAAUUCAGGAGCUAUUUCAAGUGCAGGAACCAAAACUGCAAUGCGAGGAAGAAAGUAGAGUGGAGUGACAGGCAGCCAGAUAAUAUUCGAAUAGUGUAUGAAGGGGUGCAUUCCCAUUCCUCUGAUCACUCUCAUUCAUCCCAACCCACUUCUUCUGCUGCUAACCAAUACAAUUUGUUAAACCAAGUUUAUGGAGAUCAUCAACCUGCUUCACAAUAAUACUACGUAUAUAACUUAAUUUAAGUGCCAUAUUAUUGUAAAUUCUUAUAACAAAUAUAUAUAUAUAUUCAGGAUCUUGGUCUUUGAUGAUG
rnacentral:misc_RNA from 1 species